UCGACAAAGUUCGCGCGUGUUUAUAUACACGUCGUAUUGUACGUGUACGAUCGACAAAGAUCGCGCGUGUUUAUAUACACGUCGUAUACGUGUUGCGUCGUACGUAUUAUAUGUCGAACUUCGUAACGGUUACGGCGACGACCUCUAAUGUAAAGGCAUUAUUCCGUGUUGGACUUUCGACGGAGAUACAUCGGAGCGCGACGCAAAUUAAUAAGAAGAAGAAGAAGAAGGAGGAGGAGGAGGAGAAGAAGAAAAGUACUCACCGUCUGGCACCGCGUGGCUGGUCAUCAAGAAAUUAACGCAGGCUGCCCCUGUACCGUGUCCAAUCAACGUCACGUUCCUAGGAUCGCCGCCGAAGUUGCCGAUGUUCUCCUGCACCCAAUGGAGCGCCGCGAUUUGAUCCAUCAGACCGUAAUUCGCCGGCGAGCAGUUUGCGUAUCGGGGAGGAGGGAGGGAGGGGGGAAGAGAAGAGCCUCGUUGGAACAAAGGGAGAAGUUUCGAAAUGGGAUGGGAUGGAGAGAAACAGAGCGAAGCAAUAAAGAGUUUAAUGAGUUUCGAUGUUCGAGUUAAACUUUCCUACCGGCUACCCAGUUAAGAAGCUUUAACUUGAAAAGCUCGGUCUUAUUGGACUACAAUGAUUGGAACCGACGGUGAAAAGAUGCGUGAAACAGCAUCGGAAGAAGAAAGAAGAAAGAAGAAAGAGAACAGCGCAACAUAUUUAAAUAAACGAGCGACCCGAAGGUGGUCGAAGGUCGCGGAAAAUGUCGUCCAAGGUUAUUUAAAGUCAGCCACUCGAUGGGAAAUUAUCUGCCAACCAAAUGAGGGAACAAGGGCCUGUAAUUACUGUUACCUCGGCCGAGUGGUGGUCGCGCGAAGAACAAACCGUGCCGCAGGCCGUCACGGGUAACUGAAACUAAAUGAAUUUUGAAGCGUCGUUCAAAGGCAGCGGCGGGUGGACGCGGGUGCGAGUGAGCGAGGGCUGACGCACGCGCGUACACCAGAGGAGGAGAGAGAGAGUCGACGGAGGUAGAAAGUUUACUGACCGUAAGCGGACGUCGUGACUCGGCUGGACGACCCAAUUCGUGGACGACACGGAAAAUAACGAAACGCCGAGAAUUCAAUUAACGGCGAGUUACCGCUUCCACAAUUCGCCCCCCAACUUUUCCACCCUCUUGUAAAUUAACAAUAAGCCGGAAAUCACGCGGCUUUCCAUCCGUUUAAUUACCAUUCGUACCACGCUUUUUGGCAACGGAACGAAAUGUUUGAAUUUCCCCGAUGCGUGGAUAUAUGUGGAUUGCAUUAGACACAUUUUAUCUUGUUCGCCGAACGAGAUUGCAGAAGGGUUCCGUUGCAAGAAGAAAAGUUCGCGAAGAGUCGUGAGAAAUAUUUUCUCAGCGGCAGUUCUCUCUCCUUCUCUCUCUCUUUAGGGAGAGAGAGAGAGUUGGAAUAUUUCGUUUCGGUUUGAACGGCGGGGAACGUAAUUAAAGAGAGUGAGAUUUCAAAGUUUAACUGGAAGGUAUCCUUAUCGGAGAUAAUACGGCGGGUGGAGUGGUAAAACGGUGAGCUUCGGUCAAUAUUAUCUUAGCGAGACGUCGAAUAAAAGGCAAACACGCUGUUUACAUGCAAAUUGCGAUCGUAAAGUGUACGAUCGGUCUGUAGAGGGAUUGGAGGGAACGGUGAAAAGAUUCUGAAGGGGAUGACGCGUUCGGCGCGUCGAUUUUGAUUCUUUUUCCCUCCCUCUUUUAACACAAUCCUCGAUCUCUUUCGCCCUUCUUCAUCGCUGUAUUGAAAAUAGCGUACAAACACAAAAGGGACGAAAGAAUGUUCAGGGACUGCGUGAUGAAUAAAAAAGAAAAGCGUAAUGAAAUUUGCCGCGGUCUCGAACGAAAAAUCAUCGCGAUAAGAAAAUCGCUUGCCACGAUAUUAAAGAAAUCUAUUCUUCAGCCCGCGCUGAACGAUGCAAAUUAAUACAUUCUUCGGUCGGCUGCUCGACGCGAAACAAUAUUCACGGCACGCUGGAGGGUGGCGGGCGAUUGCUACGCGUCUCGCGACGACGCUUUGUCGUCGGUAGGGAAAACAGGGCAGAGGGAUGAAGCGAAAGGGAAAAGAGGGAAAGGAGAGAGGGAAAGAAAAAAGGAAACGAAGAAAAAAUGAGAAGAGAGAGAGAAAGAGAGAUCUCGCGUAAAAAGAAAAGAAAGAAUAGUAAUGGCGGAAAGUGAAAAGGGAUUAAAAAGAAUGGAGAAAGAGAGAGAGAGAGAAAGAGAAAUGAAACGCGAGGGUGUCGGUUUGAGAGAAGGUAAAAAAGAGCGAGAACAGGGCGAAGAGGUGAAAUAAAAGCAUUGUUCCGAAUUAUUAUCGCGAAACAGCGUGAAGCUGGGUCUACACGCGUCUCCAGACGAGUGCUCGAAACAGCCGACGGUAUAUUACCUUCAUUAUUCAACACUGACCCACCCUCGUUAUUGUUCCAAGUAUUCUUUUCCCUUUGUCGGCUCGAGGAUACUUUUUUACAAGCCUCGAAUACCGAAUUAACCGAUUUUCGGCCUUGAACCGCGACCCGUAAAGGAGAAACGUCCUUUGAUACGUUCGAUCGUUGAUUCGGUUCGCACCGCAUAAAAAUGCGCCCCGAGGUUGCUCCGUUCCCUUAUCCCCACCCUGUUUUUCUCAUUUUUACGCGUCAAUUUUUGAUACGCGAAUUUACCGGGGAGAAAAGCCCAGAAUUUAUGGACCGAGGCCGGAGGAUUUCGAUACGCUCUCUUUUUGUUUUUUAACGUGCAAGGAGUCGGUAUAAAUGAUCGGCAGAGUUGUAUUAUCCGAAUAAAAAGCGGGAGUGUUCGGUCGCUAAUCCGCUUUUCAUAAGAGCGUAAAACAUUGGAGGGCAGAGAAACUUGCCAAUAUCGUAUAGCGACUCCCGGCUAUAAAACAGUCUGGAACUCUCAGCCUAUCUUUAUUACACAGCUUCUCCCUUUCCUUCGCUUCUUUUUUCUCCCUCUACCUUUCCAAUCUCCCUUUACCUAAAUUUACUUUCCUCGACGCGAUACGAUCCGCGUACACGUAUCUCGUGCGCGAAAAACUUUGGAAAGUUACUCGAGAAAACUUGAGAAAAUGUAGAUACAUCUCGAAUCCCGGAAUAAUUCGUUAAUUGGCACAUUGGUAAUCCGACCUUACGCGGGCUUUGAUCAGGGGAGGAAGGACGUAGGCCUGUUCACCGGCGUGUAAAGCGAGUACGAUCGGGAUGGCCUUACAAGGGGAGGGGUACAGCGGUCGAAGCAUGCAUCAGCGCACGUCAUCGGGUGCUCGCAUUUCGCCGAAAUGAAUAUUAAUCCCCCUGUGCCGGGUACGGCCGGUUAUUCGCGGCAGAGUGUGUACGCAUCCACGACAGUCGACACUCCCUGUCUGCCCUUUAUUGCCACUGAUACCAAGCGCGCAGCCACCGCCAUCCAGCCAACGGCACGGCCAUUCAUUCGCACGGACAAAGUACUGACGCCGCUCUAAAUAUACGGUCGCAUAGUGCCGCGAGGCUUCGACGCGCGUCUGUAAAUGGGCACACGGACGUGGGGCCGUGUUUGGCCGCAAGCACAGCUCCACUUGCAUCCAUUCGCGCGUGUGCGCUCGCAGAGAGAGAGGGAGAGAGAGAGAGGCGAGGGAGUAGAGACGCGUGUCCGUGUCCACGCGUUCGUAUGCGUGUGUAAGCUAGCUGCAACAACGGAGGGCGAUAAUUCCUUGGAGCUGGCGAAGGACGAGGUAGAGGAAGGCUGUUACCGGGGUUGUUGUCAGUGGAAAAGCAAGAGGUGAAGAAAGAGAGACGGAGAGAGCAUAAGGAAUGUUCUAUCCUGUAUGUUCGCCAUUAAUUCUAACCCGACUUUCCCUUCCACCGCGUCUUCCCGCUGCCUUUGCGUAAUCGUCAAGCUUCACGGUUCAUUAACUGUUGUUUUCCACCGUCUUUCGCCCCGUCUUGCCUCCGGUAAUCCGCAUUUCGAAUACUCCCACGAACGCGAGUAGACGCUUUGUAUUAUUAGCAGGGAAUAAUAGCAGGGUGGAUAUGACGAUACACAACGCGCCGCUUCAAUGCCUUCGAGUACUCUCCGCGGAAUCCCGAGAUUUCCCUUUAUCCCCCCUAUGAUUCUCCGUUCUGUCGGGAAAACAGAUUUUUAUUUCGAAAUAAAUACGAAGUUAAGAAAUACGCUAAUCUAAUUUGCUCACGAUUGCUGCGAGCUAGAUGGAACAAACACCUCGAGGUGUUCCCCAUUGGGAAUACAUAUCUAUCUAUAUAUAUAUAUCUUCCAUCGAAGAAAGAAACUUGCCCGUAAGAAACUUUCGGCCAACUCGAUCGCACAUUGAAAAUUUCCACCUUUUAAAAAUUAAUCCACCCCUCUCCGUCAUCCGUCACGUUCUCUCGGUUGAAAACGUUAGACUUCCUCCAAACUUGCUCGCCCCUUUGGAUCGGUCCCCCCUUCUCCCUCCUUUUCCACGUCGAAUUUCAGUCGAAGGAAAAAAAAAGAGAAAAGAAAGGACACGGUCCGGGUUUUCGAUAAUCCAGGUCGUGAAGCCGUAAUUCAGCCCUGAGGAGGGUGGACGAAACGUUUCUCGACGGCGAAACGAAACGCGUUGCGAAGACGUUUCUCGCGCGAAAAAUUCGGACGGAAGAGGGAAAGGCAGGAAAAAUAGAGGGGGGAGAGGAGAGGAGAAGAGGCGAGCAAGUUUCUCGAGAAGGGGAAAAGGAAGGUAAUGGAAGUGGAGAAACAAUGGAGAAGGUGGGCGGGUAGGGGGCGUCACUCGACCCGAAAUAAAAAUUAGACUUCAUCAAACGACUCGACGACUGGUGGCUGAAGCGUCGGAUUAAACAUUGUUCCUUUGAGCUCGGCCAGUUCCUUUCGGCCCCCUUUCACGGGGAAAGUGGCAGAAACGUAUAAAAUCUCGAGGGAACGCCAUUGUUUCUGAGGCCCGUGCCGGCUUGGAAUUACUGGCUCGCGUGUGGGCCGAGAGACUCGAACGGAUUCUUGCCCCCCUUUUUUCCUUUUUUUUUUUUUAUCAUCUCCGUAUUCCGGGAUUAUUAGUUUCGCGAUGAUUGCCGCGCUGAGAACCUCAGGCUUGCCCCCUUUUCGCUUCCUGUAAUACGCGUUUCUGGCAAACCUUCGCUUCGUUUGAUCAUCGUUUUCUUCGAUGAGAAGAAAGAAAGAAAGAAUGAAAAAAAAAAUUGGAUCGACAAUAACUUCGACCGGGAAAUUCAAACCCAACCUCGCAAAAAUUGGCUUUGAAUUCGUGGAUUUCAAUUUAAAUUUUUUUUAAUUCCAACUCGAAGCCGUCGAGCCGCUUUUCAUCACAAUUAUCUGGCAAAAUUUUUACGUUUCUAACGUGGUGGAUCCGGGUGGAAAAUUUCAUUAUAGUUUAUUCAAAUAUCCAAAAAUGCUCGCGAAAUAUUUUAUACUCACGGUCGUUGGAACAUAUUUCUUUCUCCUCGAGCUCGAAAAUGAACGUAAUAUAAAAUCUUACGCGCUCAAGAUUUCGCAUUUCCACGUUACGUCGUAGGUGGUCGAAGGCUAGGACGAGAAAGGGAAUAAAAUUCUCGAGAAUUUGAAUUUCUAAAAACGUGGUGGUCAUUGAUCUCGGCGAGGCCGAUCCUUACGUAAACGCGUACGUUGGCCACGCGGCCCGGAUUCAGCUAAUCCAUUAAGUUUCGCGUACGCGAUGAAAAAGGCGAGCAAGCUUGCAACGAGUCCGAUUUCCUAUUUCCUUGCCCGCUGCGCCAAUAACGACUUGGCCGAUAUCGAUUCGAACGCGAAAAAACGAAAAGACUCCACGGAAAUUCUCCUUCGAAUCUCGUACUCUUACCACUACUUUUUUCCCAUUCGCGUCCAUUUCCUUUCUUUUACUUUCUUCUUAAACGGUAUUUACAACUUUUGCAAAUUUGUGUAAUUAUAAAUUUAAACGAAAGAGUUUUCUAAACUUCGUGCAAUUCGUUUGUAGACGGUUUGAGGAUGGGUCAAUGAUCCGGUCAAUGAGACGACGACUCAUGGUCAUGGAACGAGUGACAAGAGGUCAAGGAGACCUCAAUUGUCCGCAUUAACUAGCGCGUUAAAUGUUCUCGCGUUCAUGGCUAAUAGCGUAAGUCUUAAGACGUCGAAAUUACACGUAAUUGCGGUAAAUGCUCGAGCCUCCACCGACAACCUUUGUCACUGACCACUUCUUUCUCUCCUAUUUUCGCCGUGCGAUCUAGUAGUAUCAAAAAAACGAAGAGAAAAAAGGAAAAGUAAGAAAAAAAAAGAAACAAAUACACUAAUCGACCAAUAUCGUCAUUUCCAACCAACAAACAACGAGAGAAAGGAACGAGUAACACGAUUCUUAAAAAUUCUCAAAAAAAAAAAAAAAAAAAAAAGAAAAUUACUAAUCGAUGAAUCCGAUGAAACGAUAAACUGGGAAGGCUCGACUUAAGGGUUCGACCGCGAUCCAAUUCCUGGGGAGGAAUUCCAUUUCAAUCAGUGGAAACGCGAUAACAGGAAUCCGGUGACAUCGGCGUGAAAACUGCGGCGUCAAUUUCGAUAUCGAAAAAUCUUGGUGGACGUGGUGGCGAGGCUACGUGUGUCGCGAUGCGCAAAUCUGUGCACACAGAUCUGGGCGGGGAAGGAGAGGGAUAGCCUUCUGAUCUCGAUUGCGCAGCUGUCCGAUUUCCGACCGUGCCAUCUCUCCCCUUCUUCGUGAAAUAUAAAAUUGCCCCCUCUUGGAAAUUUCGAUCGGAUUCUUGUUUAUCGUAGCGAUGGUUAGCUUUUUAAAGAUGGCUUUAAUGAGAAUCUUUAAAUCUCUUUUCCGUUUUCUUCUUUAUUUUUCACAGACAGAAUUUCGUUUACAUUAAUGAUAGACGCAUCUCUAACGCGUUAAAAUAAAUUAUGCAAAAUUGCGCAUAAGCUGAUGAAGACUCGGGCACGCUCAAUGCAAUACACUUUGCAAAAAAAAAAAAAAAUUACACGUGUUUUAUUAUCUUUUGAUAAAACAGUUUUGUCGUGUGUUCGUAGUAUCAAAUUUUUAUAGUCAUAUCAAAAUACCGUAAUAUGUCAAAUGGUGUAAAAUAUAAUCGCGAGUAACACCUUUUUUUUUUUUAGUGCGUACAAAUAAAAUGGUUAAUUUAUCAAGGAAUUAAAUAUUGUUCAACUUUUUAAAAAAUUCAUUUCUUAAAAAAUAAAAAUAGCAUCAAAUAUUAAAGAUAAUUGGACACGUGAGCUUUGUUGUUAAUAUAUAUUUCAAACUCACCACUUUCGCUUUCACACGUGCAACGAGAAAACGGUAUUUGUGAAAAAAAAAAAAAAAAGGAAAAAAAAUAGUUUGAUAUGCAUUGAAUCCGAAAUUUUUACGACACGCGAUAUUAAAUAAUGACUAAUCCACUCCUGACAUGAUUGUUAAUAAAUUUGUCUCGUGUCCACAAAUCCCAUUUUUUUUCUCUCCGCCAAAGAAAAUUAGAUGACGCGAAAAAAAGAAAAAGAAAAAUAUUGCAGCGACCGAGAGGAACCGGUGAAUUUUUCAAAGCUGCAAAUGAGCUCUCUUGCUUAUCCACGUCGUUCCAUGCCCUGAGGGAGGAAGUGUUUGGUCCCCAUAAUCAAGUAUUUAACCACGCUUAAUUUACAAUGUGUGCAUAAACUGUGCAGUUUCCCAGUGAAUGUUUGUAUUUACAAACGAGACAGGUUGCCUUGUUUCUAAAUUGAAUUUAUUACUUUAAACGAUAACAUUUUGAAAAUGUUUCGACAUUCGUCCGAUAAAUUUUCACUCUUUUUACGCUCUUUUCUUGAAAACCGUCCGUCUCUUUACAUUUUUAUCUUGGUCAAAAAAGGAUCGUAUCAAAAAAUAUCAGAGGAAUAACCGAAUGUCUCUAUUUAUCGAUCGCGAACGGACCUCAUCCGUGAAUUAACGGACACUCGAAUGAAUUCCACGUUUCCAAGUAAACCAAUUACAUUUUUCGCUUGGAAAUUGAAGUUAAAUGGGACGGGUCCGCGUGCGACAAAUUUUCCAUUAUUUUUCAUGCUGUGAAUUCGAAUAUCCGAGAGAAACGGGUCUAUAGGUGCUUAUAGUCGAAAUUUCUUGCUUCCCUCAGAAUCUAAAGAAUCUUAUUUCAGAAGCAAGUAAAAGUUAACGCAAAACACAAUCAAACGAAUUACGAAGAUUGGAUUGGAAUUUUGUCUCGAACUUCUGGAAUUAUACGUUCAAGAAAUUGGCUUUUCGAAGCACGAUAUUCGUAUAUCUUCGAUUAUCUGAUUCUUUGUUUUUCAAUGUCUUUUUCAUUUUUUUUUCCAUUUUCUUUCAGCCGCGAUGCUGGCGAUUGUAAAACAAAAUUUCUAUUAUCGAAAGUCUUUAGUAAAUAUGAUCAAACGACUUGGAAUUCAAAGAGAGAACCAUUUUCUUUUCUUUUUAAUCGAAACGUGGAAGACUUAUAGAAUUUUAUGCACGUGCAAGGAAUAUAUAGAAGCAAAAUAAGAUAGAUAAAAGGAGGAGUUUUUUUUUUCUUACAAACGAAGAGGAUAUUAGUUAACUCGAGAUAUACGUUCAUCGAUGAUCUGUUAAAUCGAUCAUAGUAUCGACGCGAAUAUGGAUCCGCAAACCAUUCACCUGAGCGUUAUUAAAAAAAAACAAAAAAAAAGCGUUUGCUGAGGGAUGGAAGAUCGAUCGAUUUCGAAUAGCCGGCCAGCAUGAAUGUAUUAAUUAUCCUUCUUUUUUUCCUCCAAUUUUUUUAAAUUUUUUUUAUUUUUUUAUUAUUAUUUUUUUUUAACGUUUUCCCUCUACCACCUGGAUAUAAAAGAUUUCUAUAGGAGAAAGGAAAACUUUGAUGAAUGGAUGAAAUUUCCAUCCUCGAUCGGGGAAAAAUUCUCUAUAUUAAAAUAAAAUAUAUUAAAUAGAGAAACUCA